rnacentral:rRNA from 1 species
GACGAACGCUGGCGGUGUGCUUAACACAUGCAAGUGGUGCGACGAACCAGGCUUCGGCCUGGGGCAAAGCCGCGAACGGGUGAGUAACACGCGAGAAUCUGGCGUCGGGUUCGGGACAACAGUGGGAAACUGCUGCUAAUACCGGAUGGGCCUAAGGGUAAAAGAUUAAUUGCCCGAAGAUGAGCUCGCGUCCGAUUAGCUAGUUGGUGUGGUAAGAGCGCACCAAGGCGUCGAUCGGUAGCUGGUCUGAGAGGACGAUCAGCCACACUGGGGCUGAGACACGGCCCAGACUCCUACGGGAGGCAGCAGUGGGGAAUUUUCGGCAAUGGGCGAAAGCCUGACGGAGCAAUACCGCGUGAGGGAGGAAGGCUCUUGGGUUGUAAACCUCUUUUCUCAGGGAAGAAAAAAAUGACGGUACCUGAGGAAUCAGCAUCGGCUAACUCCGUGCCAGCCGCCGCAGUAAGAC